rnacentral:misc_RNA from 1 species
UAUGGAAGUUGAGAAACUUCAGAUUCAUGCAUUGGGCCUCCGUUGAUUACCCUGUCUAGCUCUUCCUCAACUUUUACCAUGACUCGUUUGUUCUUGAGAAUCUCAGCCAUUGCCCACUCUAUUGUUGUGGAAGUAGUUUCUGCCCCUGCAUUAAACAAUUCAACAAACAACCAAUUGAUUAGAUCGUCAUCGAAUCCAUUGGACAGAAAAACAUCCAAGAAAUCUGUUUUGGUAGCAUCCUUGACAUGCUUUUCUCUUCUUUCCCUGAUGUAAAUUUCCCAUACACCAAACAUUUUUUCAAUGCACUCAGACAUCUUUCUUCUUAGACGCUGAGGAUCCAACCCCUCUAAG